ACAGAGGGUGCAAGCGUUAAUCGGAAUUACUGGGCGUAAAGGGAGCGUAGGUGGCUCUAUAAGUCAGAUGUGAAAUCCCCGGGCUUAACCUGGGAACUGCAUCUGAAACUGUAGAGCUAGAGUAUGUGAGAGGAAGGUAGAAUUCCAGGUGUAGCGGUGAAAUGCGUAGAGAUCUGGAGGAAUACCGACGGCGAAUGCAGCCUUCUGGCAUAAUACUGACACUGAGGCUCGAAAGCGUGGGUAGCAAACAG
rnacentral:rRNA from 1 species